UCUAGCUGGGUGACCUCUCUGAGCCUCAGUCUCCUCCUCUGACCAUGGGGACAACAAACUUCGCUUGCAAGGCCUGGAAGAAGAUCAGAAGUUGGACAGGAGAGGUCCGGCCGCGCGGACGUCACCUUAGCGCGCCACUGUCGGGUCCGGUGGGCUCGGAUGAGCUCGGGUGAACGCAGCGAGCGAGGGCAGAGGCCAGCAGAGGCGAGGAGCGGAUGCUGCAGGGCCGCAGGCCGGGCAGAGAAACGCAUACCGGGUCGCUCCCUGCUUCCCCGCCGCCUCCUGGCAGGGCCAGCGAAGCCAGUGCUCCAGCGCCCCCGUAACACCUCAAAGCGCACGGAGUCCGUGUUGGGGAACUUGGCGGCAGAGUGACUGCGACCUAGGAACCUGCGGUGGGGCCGCCGCCGCCGCCUCCGCGGGGCCGAGCGCCUGGACCUCGCCCUGAGACCGAGGAGGUUGUUUUGUUUUGUUUGAGACAGAAUCUCACUCUGUCGCCCAGGCUGGAUUGCAAUGGUGCGAUCUCGGCUCACUGCAACCUCUGCCUCCCUGGUUCAAGCCAUUCUCCUGCUUCAGCCUCCCGAGUAGCUGGGAUUACAGGCGCCUGCCACCACACCCAGCUAAUUUUUGUAUUUUUAGUAGAGACGGGGUUUCAUCAUGUUGGCCAGGAUGGUCUGGAACUCUUGAUCUCAAGUGAUCCGCCCACCUCGGCCUCCCAAAGUGCUGGGAUUAUGGGUGUGAGCCACCAUGCCUGGCCAGACCUGGGGUUUGGACCUGUUAAAGAGCUUCCUUACAGAUAGCUGGCGGUCUUGCCACCAAUUGUUUCAAAAGUAGAUGUCUGCUUUAGAGUACUUAAGACAUUCGCAGAUUCAAAUGUUGAAUUUUGAAAUAUCCCUGAUAUAUUUCUGUAUUGUAUUACCAAAAAAAAAAAAAAAAAAAGAAGAAGAAGUUAGACAGGAGUUUGGAACCAGAGAACAGCCUGUUGGGGGAGUGGGGAGCACAGCAGGGCUACACAGGCCCCUCCUCCUCCCUGUCCCUUCGGCUCCCACCCUCUGCCAGGCUUACCUGUAAAUCGGGCCAUACUUCUGGAAAUUCUGGACAUGGUGAAGGUGGACUUUGUGUGUGCCCGUCUCCCUCCAGAAAUGAUACAGGUUUAGCCAGCCAUUGUCACCAGGAGAGGGGAUCUCAUUGAAGGGGCGAGGACUGCGGGUGGAGAUGCCAGCUCCCUCGCCAGUGGGCACCCUGAGACGCCCCAGCCCCUCCCUGGGGGCACUCAGAAAGGUCUGGCAGCCUUUGACCAGGACUGAGCGUGGGGGAAGACCCUUGGCCAGCAUGCUGUCCCCACAGCUGUGACUGUACCUGCUCCACUUCAGCGGGGAAUGCUAGGAUGACUGUAGCCCUGGGCCACCAGGGCCAAGAUUAUAACUACCAGCUCAAGGCCAUACCAGAAGCUGAUAAAAUGUUCACGUCCUUCCUCCUGCUGCAGGCUCAAACCCGCAGACAGCUCCUCCCCUACUCGGUAUGAAGGUUCAGUCUGGAAUUUCUGCAGCGUGAGGUUCUCCAAAGGACAGGGAGACCCCUCUGUCUCUGCCCUCAGUGCCAGCCCUAGCAGACUCCUGAAAUAUCUGCCUGUGCCUUUGCCUGAGCUGGGGCCUCCCACUGGCCCCUGCAGCGGAGUCCAUGACCUGGCAGCCAUUGGUCAAGACUGCAGACAACCCGUGUCUGGGGGAAAUGAGGGGCCCAAGAGAAGGUCAGAGCUAUCUUGCCAGCUUGGGCAACAUACGUCUUAGUUAUGGCCCCACUGUAUAGACACACAUCGUUGAACAACAGGGAUAAGUUCUGAGAAAUGCAUCCUUAGGCUAUUUUAUUUUAUUUUAUUUUAUUUUAUUUUGAGAGAGUUUCACUCUUGUUGCCCAGGCUGGAGUGCAAUGGCACAAUUUCACCUUGGAACCCUAAUCCUCGUCAUCUCUCCCCAGUUGACCCAGAUUUGGGGCUGUAAUUCAGUACAGCUGACUCAGAGGGGCUCUGGGUCCCUUGAGCUAAGGUCUGUGGUCAGGCUCCACUCUGGACACACUCUAAGACCUUGGCAAAUCUGGUUGCCAUGGAACUCAGGAUGUCAACUCUUCCCUGUCCACACACUUGAUCUGUGCUGCUUUCCCCUCAGAGCUGCUUCCAUACCCCCUCCCAUCAUAUCAUAUCCCCAGACCCAUCCUUCCAGCCCAGUCAGCCCCCACACCCACCCCCCAUCACCCUGCACCUACCACUUUCCCAAACAACAAGGGUCAGUCACCUGUAGAGUUUUCAAGUCAUUUCAACAAAAUUACAGCCCACUUGGUAAAAAUGUGUAGGUCAGAAAACACACAUGUGCCAUGUAGAGCAUUUCAUGACAGCAAUCUACACUAUACCUUAUACUUAUCAUUGGAAGGUACAACUUCUUGCUUUUUUUCCCCAAAAUCUUAUUUUCUGGCAAAUAAGGCAUUUAAAACACACAUCUAAGAGACAGAAAAUAGACUGGUGGUUGCUUAGAACUAGGGGGAUAGAGGGAUUAGAGGGUGGGACAUAAAGUGUGUAGGGAUUCUGAGGAUGAUGAAAAUGAAAAUAUUCUAAAGUAUAUUGUGGUAAUUAUUGAACAACUCUCUGAAUACACUAAAAGCCAUUGAAUUGCAUACUUUAAAUGGGUGAAUUGUAUGGUGUGUGAAUUAUAUCUCAAUAGAGCUGUUACCAAACACACACACACACACACACACACACACGAGUGACAUCCUCCUGGCCUCUUCUGUUGUAUGUGUCAGCCCAUAGAUCACCCACAAUGGCAAAAGUUGUCCUUACACAGCCACUUGACCCCAGACUCCAAUACUGUUGAACCACUUUCAACAAAUUUAGAGCAACAGUUUUUAGAAGAAAAAAAAAAAGUACUUAUCAAGAGUGGUUGUUGCUCUUCCCGCUGGAGUGACCACUACCUCAUCAGUCACGAACCUUCUGAUAAAGAGAGUAUGGAGAAAGCCUGUUUUGCCUCACUGAUGACCUUGAGCCUGGAAUGACAUCAGCCAAGGAAGGCAGUGUCUCACGAGCAGCGGCAGGGUGAUGAGCUUCCACAAAGAAAAGCAGUCUUCCAAGGACUGGUUUUUCCUCCAAGGGUCUCAGCACUGAGGUGACAUUUAUAACUUUCUGACUUAAAGUCAAUCCCAUUGUUCUACGCAGCCCCACAUUCCUCCCUCAGAAGGAGCCCUAAUCGAUGUGGCAUGGAAGAACUUGUGGUCCUCUUGGCAGCCACCCCAACUUCCGUUCAGGCCUCCGCACCUCCCCCAGUGUUGUGGGGCACUGACCGCCUCCCCAGAAGUGGCCCAGGCUGGAGGUUAUUGCCUCAUCCUCUCCAAUGGCCACGGUCACAUCACAGCAUAGGCCAGCGAUUCAGUUUGGGCCAAUGAAACACAAGGAAAGGUUUGCUGUGGCUUCUGGGAGAAUAGCUCCCUCACUUCUCUGAAAGAGCUUCCAGAAACACAUCACUCACCCCAAACAAGGCUGAGUGUAUUAGCUGUUUACUGCUGCUUAACAAAUUAUCCCAAAAUUUAGUGGCUUAAAACAAUAAAUGUUUAUUAUCUCACAGCUUCUGAGGGUACAGCACCCAGGAGCAGCUUUUCUGGGUGACUGGGUGACUGGGUGGCUGGGUGGCUGGGUGACUGGGUGGCUGGGCGGCUGAGUGGCUCAAGCUCAGGGUUUCUCACAAGCGGCUGCCAUCCCUGAAGCUUGACCAGGGUGUAGGAUCAGCUUCCAAGCUCAGUGGAUUAAACUGGCCCUGCUUCAAAACUUUUCAGUGGCUGUUUCAGGACUAUUGAGAAGAUUAAUGAAUGAUAUAUACAUUUCAAAAUAUAUAUAUUACACAUAUACAUGUGUAUAUUACAUAAUUUUUCCCUCCCUCUCUCUGUUCUUGCCAGUGCCCAAACUGAAAUUUUCACCCUCUCAAAAGCGAUGGGAAGUUAGGGUCCAACCCUCACCAAGCCCCUUACGAUGGGCAAGUGAAUCCUCUGCUAGGUGAGGUUAGCCUAGUGCUCGACUAUGCCUAAGUCCUUCUUGGCUCUCUCAAGACAGGCCCAUACUUACAGUGCUUUCUCCUCCCACUCCUGCCUCCCACAUUCUGUAACUAUCCUAUCAUUCUCAGAGUAGAGGGUGUACACAUUUAGACCCAUCUAUCUAAACGUUGCCUAGGACGGGGAACGUGAUUUUGUUCAUUGCAGGCAGCUUGGAUGGAUAAACAGAAAAUCCAAAUCACAGACUUAAAGAAGAUAGAAGUGUAUUCUCUCUCCCAUAAAGGAUUUCCAAGGCUGGGCAGUCCAGGGUGAGUGUGUCAGUCCCAGCAAAAUGCCAGGCUCCAUCUUCCUGCUUCACCACGAAGACAUUUGGUUGGCAUUUCUAAGGCCACCCGAUGGUCCAAGCUGCUGCUGGAAUGUUAACCGUGUUGCUGGCCAGAAGGCGGAAGAACUCAAGAAGACCAAAAGGGGCCCUCCCUGAAGAGCCAGCUUCAUUUAAGCCCCUUCCUCAAAGUCCCACAGGAGUCCAACCACAUCUGAUUGGUGGGAACUUAACCACAUUGAGGCAGGAGAAUGGGGAAUUAGGGAAACCAAGGAUUAAGGUAGGAACAAAAGAAAAGCAGGUGCAGCCAGUUCACAUAAGCAAAAGGAACAGCAGGUACAGCCAAUUCUAGGCAGGAUUAGGCAACAUACAGGCCACAUCUUCACUUCUGUGAUAACCACAGGCCAAGUCUCCACUUCAGCCUCUAAUUGGUCAUGGAUCAAUUCUUCAUUGGAUGUAACUGAUUGGAGGCCUCUGGAGGGCACAGGGGGUGUUCAUGUUCUUUAGCUUAAUAAAAUCUCUAAUUGAAGGGGCUCCUGAGCCACUUGCUCGAGCCCACUCUUGCUCUGUGAAUUGUACUUGCACAUCUUCAAUAAAUCUGUGCCUUCAUUACUCC
rnacentral:antisense_RNA from 1 species